rnacentral:rRNA from 1 species
GGCGGCGCGAACAAGGCGUCGGCAGCGAAGCGAAGGCAAGGGCGCCCAUCGAGCGACGGUCGGAUCUCCCGGCUCGCCGCGCAUCCGGUCGACCUCCCACCUCUCGGCACCUCGCGUCCACGGCGGCGCGAACAAGGUGGCGGCAGCUAAGCGAAGGCAAGGGCGCCCAUCGGGCGACGCUCGGAUCUCCCAUCUUGCCGCGCAUCUGGUCGAUCUCAUACCUCUCGACACCUCGCGUCCACGGCGGCGCGAACAGACGGUGGCAGCGAAGCGAUUGCAAGGGGGGCGGCGGCGGAGCUCUCAGCCGUUCCCACAUAUCCGACCUGAACCACCCUCCUUGGCUCUCCAGCAUUUCAUCUCAUCCGACUCAGUCCACGGCGUCGGGGAAUGGAUCAAGCCCAAGCCUUGUUCUUCUUGCAAUGGAUCGGCGCCCACCGGACCCAAAUCGGCGCCCACCGGACCCAAUUGACUGAAUUUUUUGAUCUUUACUUUGGAGAUGCUGCUGUCAUAUGCAACAACAUUGGUCGCAACUAUCUGAAGAGUGCCUACCGGU